ensembl:lncRNA
GCUAACUAGAUGUUGGGGACAUUCAGCGCAUUCAUGCCAACCAUUAUGUUUUUUAGCUUUUGAGUUCUUGAGACUGCAUUUGAGCUCCAAAGUGGCUGAUGUGCAGUCCUCUAUGCCAUUCAGCUACGUCUCUGACAAGGCAGAUGUCUUGGACUGCAGCUUUCUCCUCGCUCUGCUCAGUUCUCCACCUGCUGCAUGUCCUGGUUGAUGUGGCCCUGCAGCCAGCAGCAGAUCUCACCCAACAAUUUGUACUGCUGCCAACUGCAGUCCAACACACUGGAGCUGGAAUACAAUACCAGCCUGAUCAGCAUGCAGACCUGACAGCCUUAGCCGAGCUUCAUUCACAUUUGCUGAAUGAGUGUUUAGUUAAAUCCCACCAGCUGACGGGGCCAGAAUCGACAGCUCCAAAGCCUUUCCUGUGGCCUAGCUAAUGUCCACACCAGAAGUGCAACCUUUGCAAAGCCCAGCCGCGGACAAAGGCGGGACGAGAGAAGCUCCGUAUGUCGUCAUCUUUGAGUAAUGGUGCUGGAACAAAAGGCCGAACUUGAACAGACAAAAGCUGGUAAUCUUUGUUGUGAGAAGAGUCAGCUUUAACUUGAAGUGAGCAGGGGUGAUAUGGACACAGUUUACUUACCGUGAACUGAGAAAAACGUGCUCUCCACGUCCACAGAUCACAACAUUAAAAAGCGCUGACAGGUGGAGUGAGUUAUAAUAUUUUUACAACCUUGGCGUAUCUUUUGUGAAGAUGUGUUGAACUUCAGCAUAUAAAAAAGGUGGUGCAUACAGCAAGGCCCUGCUCUCUUCCUGAUGCAUGUUUGGAAAUGAGACAGCUUUGAAUAUUAGAUGCAUUUCACAGGCACGCUUCCUGUUUUAUUUUGGUGUCUUCUGUUGCUCUAUUUUUCCCACCUCUGAUUUCCUGAUUGAAUCCUCCUGCGUCUUGUUUCUUGUUUCUCAGUCAGACCUCUGUAUACA